rnacentral:tRNA from 1 species
GGUUCAAUGGUCUAGUGGGUAGGAUUUUUGUCUUACAC